UUAUACCGCAUAAUAUCUGUGGAUUAAAGGUGGCUUAGGCUGCCGCAGAUGGAUGAGCCUGCGUUGGAUUAGCUAGUUGGUGGGGUAAGGGCCUACCAAGGCUACGAUCCAUAGCUGAUUUGAGAGGAUGAUCAGCCACAUUGGGACUGAGACACGGCCCAAACUCCUACGGGAGGCAGCAGUGGGGAAUAUUGGACAAUGGGGGAAACCCUGAUCCAGCAAUGCCAUGUGUGUGAAGAAGGCUCUAGGGUUGUAAAGCACUUUAGUUGGGGAGGAAAGCCUAUGAGUUAAUAGCUUGUAGGAAGGACGUUACCCAAAGAAUAAGGACCGGCUAACUCCGUGCCAGCAGCCGCGGUAAUACGGGGGGUCCGAGCGUUAAUCGGAAUUACUGGGCGUAAAGGGUCUGUAGGUGGUUUGUUAAGUCAGAUGUGAAAGCCCAGGGCUCAACCUUGGAACUGCAUUUGAUACUGGCAAACUAGAGUAUGGUAGAGGAAUGGGGAAUUUCUGGUGUAGCGGUGAAAUGCGUAGAGAUCAGAAGGAACACCAAUGGCGAAGGCAACAUUCUGGACCAAUACUGACACUGAGGGACGAAAGCGUGGGGAUCAAACAGGAUUAGAUACCCUGGUAGUCCACGCUGUAAACGAUGAGUACUAGCUGUUGGAUUCGGUGUAAAGGAUCUAGUGGCGCAGCUAACGCGUUAAGUACUCCGCCUGGGGACUACGGCCGCAAGGCUAAAACUCAAAGGAAUUGACGGGGACCCGCACAAGCGGUGGAGCAUGUGGUUUAAUUCGAUGCAACGCGAAGAACCUUACCUGGUCUUGACAUCCUGCGAACUUUCUAGAGAUAGAUUGGUGCCUUCGGGAACGCAGUGACAGGUGCUGCACGGCUGUCGUCAGCUCGUGUUGUGAAAUGUUGGGUUAAGUCCCGCAACGAGCGCAACCCCUAUUGAUAGUUACCAUCAUUAAGUUGGGUACUCUAUUGAGACUGCCGCUGACAAGGCGGAGGAAGGUGGGGACGACGUCAAGUCAUCAUGGCCCUUACGACCAGGGCUACACACGUGCUACAAUGGGUAUUACAGAGGGCUGCGAAAGGUGCGAG
rnacentral:rRNA from 1 species